CUUGCCUGUGAUAUCCUCAGCUUGGAAUGGUUCUGGAUCGUCCUGCACGUACUCUCCUGACUCCACGUAUUCGGUCUCCGCUCCCGGUGCUACCCAACACAAGAAUAACAGCCAAUGAACAGCAGAACCACAAGAUGCAACAAUCACAUGAUGCAUGAGAUGAAAGUUGAGCAUGCACCACUAUUUCUAACACUAGNNNNNNNNNNNNNNNNNNNNNNNNNNNNNNNNNNNNNNNNNNNNNNNNNNNNNNNNNNNNNNNNNNNNNNNNNNNNNNNNNNNNNNNNNNNNNNNNNNNNAAGAUCUCUGACAAGGUGGCCCCACAUGGAAGGUUACAAGAAGGGAAAGUUCUACACUUGGGGCAUUACAAACUCUCCCACACUACAAAGAAGAUCUCGACCCCGAGAUCUAAGACUGAAAGAAAUCGGGAAAUUCGGAACGGAGGUGAUCCUCGCGUUCCCACGUAGCCUCUUUUUCGGAAUGGUGUGACCACUGCACUUUGAGAAACUUGACAGACUUGUUACGGGUCUUGCGCUCAGUCGCCUCGAGAACCGCAACUCGAUGCUCGCGAUAAGAGAGGUCAGGCUGGAGAUCGAUAUCCUGAAGAUGCACGGUGCGCUCGGGGUUCUUGAAACACCUCCGAAGCUGAGAAACAUGGAACACAUCAUGGACAUUUGCAAAGGUUGACGGAAGCUCGAGCUGGUACGCGAGGUCACCCCUCUUGCCAACCACUCUGAACGGACCAACGAAACGAGGCGCAAGCUUGCCUUUGAUGCCAAAACGCUGCAUACCCUUCAUAGGCGACACCUUGAGGUAGACAAAAUCAUCCAGCUCAUACGACAUGUCACGGUGCUUGCUAUCGUAAUAGCUCUUCUGACGGGACUGCGCUGCUCUGAGGUUGUCGCGAAUGAUCCGACACAUCUCCUCAGCCUCUUCUAUCAUAUCAUUGCCAAGGAUCUGACGCUCACCUGUCUGGGACCAGUUGAGCGGAGUACGGCACUUCCUGCCAUAGAGAAUCUCAAACGGAGCCUUGCCCGAGCUAGCUUGAUAACUGUUGUUAUACGAGAACUCCGCGAAAGGCAGACAAUCCUCCCACUUCAUGCCAAACGAGAUAACGCAGGCUCUCAGCAUGUCCUCAAGAACUUGAUUCACUCUCUCCGCUUGACCACUAGUCUGAGGAUGGAACGCUGUGCUGAAGCGGAUCUUCGUGCCCAUAGCAGACUGAAAAGAGUCCCAGAAUUUGGAAGUGAAGAUACUCCCACGAUCUGAUGAGAUCAUCAUGGGUACACCGUGCAAUGAGACAACCCUCGAGGUGUACAACUCUGCCAGCUGAGCUGCUGAAAUGGACUCCUUGACUGGAAGGAAAUGCGCCACCUUACUCAAUUUGUCGAUGACGACGAAGAUAGCGUCAUUGCCCUUCUUGGACUUCGGAAACCCUGUGACGAAGUCCAUCUCAAUGUGAUCGAACUUCCACUCGGGAAUCGGCAAAGGCUGCAAGAGGCCCGCUGGUCUUUGAUGUUCUGCUUUCACCCUUCGACAUACAUCACACUCAUUGACGAAUUGAGCAAUUUCACGCUUCAUACGGGUCCACCAGAACGACUGCUUCAAGUCAUGGUACAUCUUAGAACUUCCCGGAUGAAUAGAAAGCAGAGAAUUAUGAGCUUCUGCCAUGAUCACCUUCCUGAGAUCACCUUUCGGGACGACAAGGCGGUCCUCGAAAAACAAAGUGUCCCUGGCAUCCACAGUGAAACACUUAUACUUGGGAAGACUCUUUCCCACACCAAUCUUGACCUUCUUCACCAUAGUAUCAAGUAGCUGAGCUGCUCUGACCUGAUCUUCCAAGGUAGGAGAGAUCUGAAGGUUCGCAAGAAAACCCUGAGGAACCAGCUGAAGAUUGAGCUUCCUGAAAGACUCAGAAAGACCCGGCUGGAGAGGUUGCAGAAUCAGACUGUUGCAAUAUGCUUUCCUGCUCAAUGCAUCUGCCACAACAUUUGCCUUGCCUGGCGUGUACUCAACACUCGGAUUAAAAUCCUGGAGCAUUUCCACCCAACGUGUUUGCCGAAGAUUCAAGUUAGGCUGAGUGAAGAUAUACUUGAGGCUCUUGUGAUCGGUGAAAACUUCAACCUUACGUUCCAACAAGAGAUGUCUCCAAGUCAUCAAGGCGUGCACAACAGCUGCUAGCUCUAGAUCGUGCACAGGAUAGUUCUUCUCCGCAGGCUUCAGCUGCCUGGAGGUAUAAGCAACCACCUUCCUAUCUUGCAUCAAGACUGCACCAAAACCCUCAAGAGAAGCGUCGCAAAAGACCUGGUACGGCUUGGAAUCAUCCGGAGGAGCCAAUACCGGAGUGGAGGUAAGCUUCUCUUUGAGUGUAUCAAAAGCCAGUUGACACUCUGGAGACCACACAUACUUGACACCCUUCUAAAGAAGACCAGAGAGCGGCUUGGCGAUUUUGGAGAAGUUCUCAACGAAUCUUCUGCAAUAUCCGGCAAGACCGAGAAAGCUUAGAAGUUGCUUCACAUUCUGCGGAGGUUCCCAUUCAACAAUGGCCUGAACCUUGGACGGGUCAACUUUAAUGCCCUCGGCAGAGAUAAUAUGCCCAAGAUACACCACUUCUUUCAGCCAGAACUCGCACUUGGAAAACUUGGCAUACAGCUUGUAUUCUCUCAGUUUAUCAAGCACCAACCUGAGAUGUUUCUCAUGUUCUUCCUCAUCCUCAGAAAAGACCAGAAUGUCAUCGAGAUAGAGCAAGACAAACUCAUUCUUGAAUGGCGAGAAAAUAUAGUUCAUCAAUCGGCAAAAAGUCGGAGGAGCAUUAGCCAGACCAAAAGACAUGACCGUAUACUCAUAAGAGCCAAAACUGGUCCUGAAAGCCGUCUUUGGAAUGUCUUCCUCACGAAUGCGAAUCUGAUGAUAGCCCAUUCUGAGAUCAAGCUUGGAGAAUACUUUAGCACCUUUCAGCUGCUCGAACAACUCAUUUAUGUUCGGAAGCGGAUAUUUGUUCUUGAUUGUCUUCUUAUUCAAUGGGCGGUAAUCGACACACAGCCAUUCCGUGCCAUCCUUCUUCUUGACAAACGGAACACCACAUCCCCACGGAGACGAGCUUGGUCUGAUCAAACCCAAACGCUCCUGCUCAUCGAGUUGUCUCUUGAGCUCCUUCAACUCUUCUGGACCCAGCUUGUACGGCCGCUUGCACACUGGCUCUCUGCCUGGCUCAAGCUCAAUGACGAACUCCACUUCACGGUGCGGAGGCAUCCCUGGCAGCUCUUCAGGAAACACGUCCUGAUAUUCGCAGACUACUGGAACUUGCUCAAUGGGAUUGAUCUCACCCUUUUCAUUCAAGGAGAACAAGCGGACUGUGUCAUCGCGCGCCGCGAAUAUAAUCACAUCCUCCGAAGAGUGGGUCAGUUUCACUUCUUUAGCUUCACAAUCAAUUGAUGCUUUGUUCAUGGCCAACCAGUACAUACCAAGGAUCAAAUCAAUGUCGGACUUUCCCAAGACAUACGGAGAGGCCAGAAAAGCAUAAUUGUCCAUCUUGAUAGAAACAUCCGGAGCAAACCAACGAGAACUCAUAAGCAUGCCCGGAGAAACAAUAUCGAAAGACCUGGCCAACUCUUGAAGAUGGAAAUCGUACUUUGCCGCAAACGGAUAAGACAAGAAAGAAUGCGAUGCACCAGAAUCAAACAAGACUUUAGCAGGAAAAUCAUUGACUAAGAGAUUACCCAUGAUCACAUCCGACGAAUUCUCUGCCUCAGCUGCAUUAACCAUGUUGACUCGAGCUGAUCUGGGGUUGAACUUCACAAGAGCGUUGCUGGGAGGUUUGCCUGGAGGAGGAGGCGGCAGACGAAGCUGAGAAGUGCAUUUGUUGGCAUAGUGACCCUUCUGCCCACAUUUGUGACAAGUGACAUCUGCUGGCUGCCGGAACUGAAUCUGAGGAGGCCCUUGCUUCUGCUGCUGAUAUCUCUGCUGGAAUCCAGGGUUGGGUGGGCGGGAAGAACCACGUCCACCUGAGUGCUUCGGCUGCUGAGAGUGCCGAGGAGGAGGAGGAGAAACCCAAAACACUUGUUGCUUCUGAACCACCUGAGUCGAGGAAGAGCUGGAAUCUCUGAAACGUUUCUUGGAGUUCUCCACCCUGAGCAAGGCUGCCUCUGCUCUGAGAGCUAAGUUAUGGAAUUUGUCAAACUCCUCAGGAUCGUGCAAAGCGAGUGCUAACUGCAAAUCCUCCUUCAAGCCACCCCUGAACUGGUAUAUCUUGCUCUUCUGAUCCGGAACAUCCUGCAAUGCGUACCGGGCGAGCUCGUGGAACUCAACAUUGUACUUGUACACAGAAUUGCUGCCAUGCUUCAAGCGCCUGAACUUCUCACGCAUCUCCUCAACAAAACUGGAAGGAAUGUAGUGGGACCUGAAGGCACGACAGAACUCGUCCCAAAACAUCACCCUGCCACCUCUGGAGUCCUUAAGCUGCUGCCACCAAAUAGAAGCCUGCCCCUUCAACUGGAAUGUUGCAAACUUGACAUAAUCCUCUGGACGCACAUUGCUACACUCGAAAUGCUUGUUCAUAUCACGGAUCCAAUCUUCCGCGUCAAACGGCUGGUCACAACAAGUGAACGUCCUAGGCUGGUUUGACAGGAACUAACUCAGACUGGCGAAGUGAUUGCCACCCUGCUGGAAAUUGCCUUGCUGAUGAUUGGCUCUCUCCUGGAUCAACUGCAAUAGCAUCUGAGUAUUUGCAUUGGUAGCUGCCAUCAUUGCCUGCCAGGCCUCUGCAGGAGGAGGCGGCGGCGGUGGCGGAGGAGGAGGUGGAGGCGGCGUAUCCUCACGCGCUGGGGUCUGACGAGUUGGUGGAGCCAUCCUGAAGACGGACAGCAUAUUAGUCCACAGAAUAUUUGAAGAUAAGCUGAAUCAAAAGACAGAAUAUCUGAAUAGAACUUAGCAUUGCACUCGAACAACAUAGCAAGAGUGCAUUCUCAAAGUAACAGACGACAAAAUUCCGAUAAGGGGCCACAGCAAACAAGUGUGAGCUAGAACUGCUCGGAACAAACAUAAGAUCGAGAUUUCCCAAACCUCAAUCAAGCGUCUGUAGGAAGAUAGUCCUAUAAGAUACUACCAGAUAUCCCACCUAUAAAUUCCCGAAAUAACUGGUCAUGCAAUCAGGCACACGGAUACAAGGAGUAUUUCACACAACUCCUAAACUAAGCCGUCACCUGUAUCACAUCCUUCAACACGCAACCAGCAUCUCGGACCUUCGUUUACAACCGAUCCUCGUGAUCACAACGAUACCAAGUGUGGUAGUACCCCCGAACAAUCUACACCAGUACUGGGGACGUCGGGGUUAUCUCACCACUACCCGUAUUGAAGCAAUAACUAACACCCACCGUUCUUAGGUACUCAGAAAUCUGAAUGAUGGCGAUGUGCGCGAUAAUCCCUGGAGCUCAACUCCCCUGAUACUUAGAGCGGACAGGAGGCACCAGGACAUGAUUUCGUCACAUCGAAAUCAUAUAGAUUUCGCAAACACCCGCGUGAUCCUAAAAAAAUUUUGAGCGAGAAAAGGAGUAGAGUUAAAGAUUUCCUAAGACGGAAGCCUCACCAGAGCAAAGAAGAGGAGAAAAAUGAAACCUACUCUCCGAUAUAACUAAGACUCAAAACAUUUACUAGACUCGACUCGGCCAAAUACGAUCACACAAAGGCUCUUAUGGUCGUAAGGCUCUGAUUACCAACUUGUAACGACCAAGAUGCGGUCCUUUCCGAUCUGGGGGUCGAGGCCCCCGAACAGGAAAGAAGCGCAUAUAAGUGUUUCGCAAGCAAGUAAACAUAGCAUAUAACAAUACUUACAGUAGACAAUCUGGGAUUCAACUAUCUUCUUAUUAAAAUGCAGAGUACAACGCAGGUACAAACAAGGUAGUUCCGGUACGGACUACAAAACAAGGAAAAGGCUAUGCUACCCGCUGCAGGCCCACGAUCACGACCACGAUUUAGUCCUCUGGGUAGUUCACGUAAAGGCGAUCUGUCUCCUCGUCGUACUGCCGCGCCAGCUUGGUGCCGUCGGGAUACUCUGCCUCUGGGGUACCUGUACCUGCUGGAAGUUUCGGAGGAAUCCGUGAGCCACGGGGACUCAGCAAUCUAAGGCCUUGGUGCCAGAUCUAGCCAUGUUAUUGGGCAAGGAAGGGGUAAAGUGUUUCAGGCUGCUGCAUUCUAAGGCUGAAUAAGUGGCUAGCUUACGCAAAGGAGAAGUGACAGUGUUCUAUACUAACGAUCGUGAAUACUUGAUCAGAACGUGAUCCUGAACACCUACCUACGGCAUUCUUAACCCCACCGUGUUCCCGAUCGAAGAGAGAUCUUCGAAGGGACAGUCACGGUUACGCACACAGUUGGCAUAUUUUAUUAGUUUAUGUUUAAGUUUUCUAAUACCGGAUGUUAACAAAAUAUUCCAAGUUGCCACAUAACCGCGGGCACGGCUUUCCGAAAGAUUAAACCCUGCAGGGGUGCUCCAACUAGUUCAUCACAAACGAACACAGGCCGCAAAGGUAUCCUCUAUCACGAAUCUCGUGAUCUCGUCGGAUUCCUUAGAGAAAACCUCAACUCUGGGUGAAACCAAAGCUUCACCGGAAUUCCUAUACGCAAGAUAAACCGCUAAGGCAAGACAAGACUAGCAGGACCUCCCGACGUGUCGACGACCCUGAUAAGAGCCGCGUAUCUCAGUCUUAGGACACGCCGGAUGAGUCACACUACAGGUAUACCAAACCUCAGGUUGCCCUGUGGUGGCCCCAUAGUCUGCUCAGUUUGGACCAACACUCAUGAGGAGCACUGGCCCGAGUUGUUGAUUAAGAAACCUCGGGGUAGCUAUUCCCUAUGCAGUUUAUUAUUAAGUGAUUAGCAAAUAGUACCAAUGUUGGGUCCUGCCGGACACGCCUUAACACUACGCGAUUUAUCAAGGGGGUCCCCAUAACAACCCCGAACGUGUUAGGAGCGAUCAUUAUGGAAUCAAACACCGGUAACCGGUAACUAAGGCGGCAAUAACGGAACAAGACACCCGGCAAAAGGCUAGGCCUCCCGACAUUUACCACAUAUAUAGGUACCUUAAUUAAAUAAAAGGAAUUAACAUAAUGAUAUCAAGCUCAGGGCAACUCAUGAGUUAUAAACACCUGCAACUAGCAAUGCUAACAUUAGUAGCUGAGCAAGCCUACCUAGCCAUGCAAGUUUGCUAGGAAAGAGUAAGGUGUUUAGGCUUACGGCAUAUGAAGAGGUAAUAUAUUUUCAGUGGUAGGCAGCGAGCUAUAACGUGGAAUCGAAACUAACAUAACANNNNNNNNNNNNNNNNNNNNNNNNNNNNNNNNNNNNNNNNNNNNNNNNNNNNNNNNNNNNNNNNNNNNNNNNNNNNNNNNNNNNNNNNNNNNNNNNNNNNAUGUUAAGAACGCUUGGUUAGCACGUAAGGAGGACUACUCAGUAGUUCAAUGUGCAGUCUUGUAUGGCUUAGAACCGGGACUUCAACGUCGCUUUGAGCGUCAUGGAGCAUUUAGAUGUUCCAGGAGUUGAAGUUUAUCUUUCAGAAGAACGCCCGGAUCGAGAGGUAUGAGACCUCCGAUAAAUUCUAUGCUUGCAAGAUGGAGGAGAACUCGUCUGUCAGUGAACAUGUGCUCAAAAUGUCUGGGUACUCAAACCGUCUAGCUGAGCUGGGGAUUGAACUCCCGCAAGAGGCUAUCACUGACAGAAUCCUUCAAUCACUGCCGCCAAGCUAUAAAGGCUUUGUGUUGAACUACAACAUGCAAGGGAUGAACAAGUCACCCGGCGAGUUGUUUGCGAUGCUGAAAGUCGCAGAGUCUGAACUCCGUAAAGAACAUCAAGUGUUGAUGGUGAAUAAGACCACUAGUUUCAAGAGAAACAACAAAGGCAAGAAGGGUAAUUCAAAGAAGAGCGGCAUGCCCGUUGCCAAUCCGACGAAGAAACCCAAAGCUGGACCUAAGCCUGAAACGGAGUGUUACUAUUGCAAGGGUAUGGGUCAUUGGAAGCGCAAUUGCCCCAAGUAUCUGGCAGAUAAGAAGGCGGCCAAAGAAAAAUCAGGUAUAUUUGACAUACAUGUUAUUGAUGUGUACUUAACCGGCUCUCGUAGUAGUGCCUGGGUAUUCGAUACCGGUUCUGUUGCUCAUAUUUGCAACUCGAAAUAGGAACUGCGGAAUAGACGAAGGCUGGCGAAAGAUGAAGUGACGAUGCGCGUAGGAAAUGGUUCCAAGGUUGAUGCAAUCACCGUCGGCACAGUUUCACUUCAGUUACCAUCAGGAUUAGUGGUGAACUUAAAUCAUUGUCAUUUAGUGCCUGCGUUGAGCAUGAACAUUAUAUCUGGAUCUUGUUUAUUGCAAGACGGUUACUCUUUUAAGUCAGAGAAUAAUGGUUGUUCUAUUUCUAUGAGUAACAUCUUUUAUGGUCAUGCACCUAAUGUGAGAGGAUUGUUCAUAUUGAAUCUUGAUAGCGAUACACACAUACAUAACAUUGAGACCAAAAGAGUUAGAGUUAACAAUGAUAGCGCCAUAUUUUUUGUGGCACUGCCGCUUGGGUCAUAUUGGUGUAAAGCGCAUGAAGAAACUCCAUGCUGAUGGACUUUUGGAGUCACUUGACUUUGAUUCACUUGACACGUGCGAACCAUGCCUCAUGGGCAAGAUGACUAAGACUCCGUUCUCCGGAACAAUGGAGCGUGCAAGUGACUUGUUGGAAAUCAUACAUACCGAUGUGUGUGGUCCGAUGAGCGUGGAGGCACGCGGCGGAUAUCAUUAUUUUCUCACCUUCACUGACGAUUUGAGUAGAUAUGGUUAUGUCUACUUGAUGAAACACAAGUCUGAAACAUUUGAAAAGUUCAAGCAAUUUCAGAGUGAAGUUGAAAAUCAUCGUAACAAGAAGAUCAAGUUCCUACGGUCUGAUCGUGGGGGUGAAUAUCUGAGUUUCGAGUUUGGUGCUCACUUAAGACAAUGUGGAAUUGUUUCACAGUUGACACCGCCUUGAACACCACAGCGUAAUGGUGUGUCCGAACGUCGUAAUCGUACUUUAUUAGAGAUGGUGCGAUCUAUGAUGUCUCUUACCAAUUUGCCGUUAUCGUUUUGGGGUUAUGCAUUAGAAACAGCUGCAUUCACUUUAAAUAGGGCACCAUCAAAAUCCGUUAAGACGACACCAUAUGAACUGUGGUAUGGCAAAAGGCCAAAGUUGUCGUUUCUUAAAGUUUGGGGAUGUGAUGCUUAUGUCAAAAAGCUUCAGCCUGAAAAGCUGGAACCCAAAGCGGAAAGGUGCGUCUUCAUAGGUUACCCAAAAGAGACAGUUGGGUACACCUUCUAUCUCAAAUCCGAGGGCAAAGUGUUUGUUGCUAAAAACGGAGCUUUUCUCGAGAAGGAGUUUCUCUCGAGAGAAUUGAGUGGGAGGAAGAUAGAACUUGACGAGGUUGUCGAACCUCUCAUCCCUCUGGAUGGUGGCGCAGGACAAGGGGAAACCUCUGUCGUUGCGACGCCGGUUGAGGAGGAAGUUAAUGAUGAUGAUCAUGAAACUCCAGUUCAAGUUUCUGUCGAACCACGCAGGUCGACGAGACCACGUGCUGCUCCAGAGUGGUACGGUAAUCCCGUCUUGUCAAUCAUGUUGUUAGACAACAAUGAACCUGCAAAUUAUGAAGAAGCAAUGGUGGGCCUAGAUUCCAACAAAUGGCUAGAAGCCAUGAAGUCCGAGAUAGGAUCCAUGUAUGAGAACAAAGUGUGGACUUUGGAGGUACUACCUGAGGGCCGCAAGGCUAUUCAGAACAAAUGGAUCUUUAAGAGGAAGACGGACGCUGACGGAAAUGUGACCGUUUAUAAAGCUCGACUUGUGGCAAAGGGUUUUUCACAAGUUCAAGAAGUUGACUACGAUGAGACUUUCUCACCCAUAGUAAUGCUUAAGUCCGUCAGAAUCAUGUUAGCAAUAGCUGCAUUUUUCGAUUAUGAAAUCUGGCAGAUGGAUGUCAAAACGGCAUUCCUUAACGGUUUCCUUAAGGAAGAAUUGUAUAUGAUGCAACCCGAAGGUUUUGUCGAUCCUAAGAAUGCCAACAAGGUGUGCAAGCUCCAGCGAUCCAUUUAUGGACUGGUGCAAGCAUCUCGGAGUUGGAACAAACGCUUUGAUGAAGUGAUCAAAGCAUUUGGGUUUAUACAAGUGGUUGGAGAAUCUUGUAUUUACAAGAAAGUGAGUGGGAGCUUUGCAGCGUUUCUAAUAUUAUAUAUGGAUGACAUAUUGCUGAUUGGAAACAACAUGGAGUUUUUAGAGAGCAUAAAGGAUUACUUGAAUAAAAGUUUCUCUAUGAAGGACCUAGGAGAAGAUGCUUACAUUCUAGGCAUUAAGAUCUAUAGGGAUAGAUCAAAACGCCUGAUAGGACUUUCACAAAGCACAUACCUUGAUAAAGUUUUGAAGAGGUUCAAAAUGGAACAGUCCAAGAAAGGGUUCUUGCCAGUUUUACAAGGUACAAGAUUGAGUAAGACUCAGUGCCCAGCAACUGAUGAAGAUAGAGAGCAUAUGCGCUCCGUCCCCUAUGCUUCAGCCAUAGGUUCUAUCAUGUAUGCAAUGCUGUGCACUAGACCGGAUGUUAGCCUGACCAUAAGUAUGGCAGGUAGGUUCCAGAGUAAUCCAGGAGUGGAUCACUGGACAACGGUCAAGAAUAUCCUGAAGUACCUGAAAAGGACUAAGGAGAUGUUUCUCGUGUAUGGAGGUGACGAAGAGCUCGCCGUAAAAGGUUACAUCGAUGCAAGCUUUGACACAGAUCCGGACGACUCUAAGUCACAAACCGGAUACGUAUUUAUUCUUAAUGGGGGUGCGGUAAGCUGGUGCAGUUCCAAGCAAAGCGUCGUAGCAAAUUCUACAUGUGAAGCGGAGUACAUGGCUGCCUUGGAGGCGGCUAAGGAGGGUGUCUGGAUGAAGCAGUUCAUGACGGAUCUUGGAGUGGUGCCAAGCGCACUGAAUCCAAUAACCUUGUUCUGUGACAACACGGGUGCCAUUGCCUUAGCAAAGGAACCACGGUUUCACAAGAAGACUAGACACAUCAAACUACGCUUCAACCUCAUCCGCGACUACGUCGAGGAGGAGGACGUAAAUAUAUGCAAAGUGCACACGGAUCUGAAUGUAGCAGACCCGCUGACUAAACCUCUUCCACGGCCAAAGCAUGAUCAACACCAGAACUGUAUGGGUGUUAGAUUUAUUACAAUGUAAUUCGCAUGAUGAUGUGAGGGCUAGAUUAUAGACUCUAGUGCAAGUGGGAGACUGUUGGAAUUAUGCCCUAGAGGCAAUAAUAAAUAUAGUUAUUAUUAUAAUUCCUGUAUCAAGAUAAUCGUUUAUUAUCCAUGCUAUAAUUGUAUUGAAUGAAGACUCAUUUACAUGUGUGGAUACAUAGACAAAACACCGUCCCUAGCAAGCCUCUAGUUGGCUAGCCAGUUGAUCAAAGAUAGUCAGUGUCUUCUGAUUAUGAACAAGGUGUUGUUGCUUGAUAACUGGAUCACGUCAUUGGGAGAAUCACAUGAUGGACUAGACCCAAACUAAUAGACGUAGCAUGUUGAUCGUGUCAUUUUGUUGCUACUGUUUUCUGCGUGUCAAGUAUUUAUUCCUAUGACCAUGAGAUCAUAUAACUCACUGACACCGGAGGAAUGCUUUGUGUGUAUCAAAUGUCGCAACGUAACUGGGUGACUAUAAAGAUGCUCUACAGGUAUCUCCGAAGGUGUUAGUUGAGUUAGUAUGGAUCAAGACUGGGAUUUGUCACUCCGUGUGACGGAGAGGUAUCUCGGGGCCCACUCGGUAAUACAACAUCACACACAAGCCUUGCAAGCAAUGUGACUUAGUGUAAGUUACGUGAUCUUGUAUUAGAGAACGAGUAAAUAGACUUGCCAGUAAACGAGAUUGAAAUAGGUAUGCGGAUACUGACGACCGAAUCUCGGGCAAGUAACAUGCCGAAGGACGCAGGGAAUGACAUAUGGGAUUAUAUGAAUCCUUGGCACUGAGGUUCAAACGAUAAGAUCUUCGUAGAAUAUGUAGGAUCCAAUAUGGGCAUCCAGGUCCCACUAUUGGAUAUUGACCGAGGAGUCUCUCGGGUCAUGUCUACAUAGUUCUCGAACCGCAGGGUCUGCACACUUAAGGUUCGACGUUGUUUUAUGCGUAUUUGAGUUAUAUGGUUGGUUACCGAAUGUUGUUCGGAGUCCCGGAUGAGAUCACGGAUCUCACGAGGGUUUCCGGAAUGGUCCGGAAACGAAGAUUGAUAUAUAGGAUGACCUCAUUUGAUUACCGGAAGGUUUUCGGAGUUACCGGGAAUGUACCGGGAAUGACGAAUGGGUUCCGGGAGUUCACCGGGAGGGGGCAACCCACCCCGGGGAAGCCCAUAGGCCUUGAGGAUGGCACACCAACCCUUAGUGGGCUGGUGGGACAGCCCAAAAGGGCCCUAUGCGCCUAGAAAAGAAAAUCAAAGAGAAAAGAAAAAAAAGGAGGUGGGAAGGGAAGGAAGGACUCCCACCCACCAAACCAAGUCCAACUCGGAUUGGGGGGGGGGAGCCAUCCCCCUUGGACUCGGCCGACCCCCUUGGGGCUCCUUGAGCCCCAAGGCAAGGUCCCCUCUCCCUCCCACCUAUAUAUACGGAGGUUUUAGGGCUGAUUUGAGACGUUUUUUCCACGGCAGCCCGACCACAUACCUCCACGGUUUUUCCUCUAGAUCGCAUUUCUGCGGAGCUCGGGCGGAGCCCUGCUGAGACAAGGUCAUGACCAACCUCCGGAGCGCCGUCACGCUGCCGGAGAACUCUUCUACCUCUCCGUCUCUCUUGCUAGAUCAAGAAGGCCGAGAUCAUCGUCGAGCUGUACGUGUGCUGAACGCGGAGGUGCCGUCCGUUCGGUACUAGAUCGUGGGACUGAUCGCGGGAUUGUUCGCGGGGCGGAUCGAGGGACGUGAGGACGUUACACUACAUCAACCGCGUUCACUAACGCUUCUGCUGUACGGUCUACAAGGGUACGUAGAUCACUCAUCCCCUCUCGUAGAUGGACAUCACCAUGAUAGGUCUUCGUGCGCGUAGGAAAAUUUUUGUUUCCCAUGUGACGUUCCCCAAGAAUGGAUUCAUUCAUGAAAUUCACCCAACUUUUGCCGGCAUCUGAGAAUGCACAUGCAAUGAUGCCACGCAAAAUUUCGACGCAAUCGGAGACCAAACGCACAUUGCGUCACGUCCGGCAUCUGUUUCUGCCGGUUUUUAAAUAGAAAUUCAUAAAAAAGCACGGAAUGUGAGAAAAUUCUAAAAUUUGACGUGCCGCCUUGUGAAGUUCAUCGUGAAGCGUGAAAAAAAUGAAUUUUUUUCAUGAAGGGGAGUUGCAAAAUGGCGUUGUAGCACCCCUUCCGUCCAUACCGACACUCAUGGGUUGCACAUGAAGUACACGGAUGCAUUCAUGAAAUUAACCCAACUUUUGCCGGCACGUGAGAAUGCACAUGCAGUGAUGCCACACAAAAUUUCGACGAAAUCGGAGACCAAACGCACGUUGCGUCACGUCCGGCAUCUGUUUUUGCCGGUUUUUGAAUGGAAAUUUUAAAAAAAGCACGGAUUGUCAGAAAAUUCUAAAAUUUGACGUGCCGCCUUGUGAAGUUCAUCGUAAAGUGUGAAAAAAAUGAAAUUUUUUCAAGAUGGGGAUUUGCAAGAUGGCGUUGUAUCAACCCUUCUCUCCAUACCGACACCCAUGGGUUGCACAUGAAGUAGAUGGAUGCAUUCAUGAAAUUCACCCAACUUUUGCCGACACCUGAGAAUGCAUAUGCAAUGAUGCCACACAAAAUUUCGACGAAAUCGGAUACCAAACGCACGCUGGGUCACGUCCGGCAUCUGUUUUUGCUGGUUUUUGAAUGGAAAUUCAUAAAAAACAUGGAUUGUCAGAAAAUUCUAAAAUUUGACGUGCCUCCUUGUGAAGUUCAUCGUAAAGCGUGGAAAAAUGAAAAAAAUUAAUGAAGGGGAGUUGCGAGAUGGCGUUGUAGCACCCCUUCCGUCCAUACCGACACCCAUGGGUUGCACAUGAAGUACAUGGAUUCAUUCAUGAAAUUCACCCAACUUUUGCCGGCAUCUGAGAAUGCACAUGCAAUGAUGUCACGCAAAAUUUCGAUGAAAUCGGAGACCAAACGCACGUUGCGUCACGUCCAGCAUCUGUUUUUGCCGGUUUUUGAAUAGAAAUUCAUAAAAAAGCACGGAUUGUCAGAAAACUCUAAAAUUUGACGUGCCGCCUUGUGAAUUUCUUCGUGAAGCGUGAAAAAAAAUGAAAUUUUUUCAUGAAGGGGAGUUACAAGAUGGCGUUGUAGCACCCCUUCCGUCCAUACUGACACCCAAGGGUUGCACAUGAAGUACGUGGAUACACUCAUGAAAUUCACCCAACUUUUGCCGGCACGUGAGAAUGCACAUGCAAUGAUGACACGCAAAAUUUCAACGAAAUUAGAGACCAAACGCACGUUGCGUCACGUCCGGCAUCUGUUUUUGUCGGUUUUUGAAUGGAAAUUCAUAAAAAAGGACGGAUUGGUGGAAAAUUCUAAAAUUUGACGUGCCGCCUUGUGAAGUUCAUCGUGAAGCGUGGAAAAAAUGAAAAAAUUUCAUGAAGGGGACUUGCAAAUUCAUAUGGAAAUAUUUCAUGUAGGAGACUUGCAAAUAUUCAUAUGAAAAAAAAAUGAAAAAAAUACACCCGACGUCGUCAUAUUGUUUUCCCACGACGGCGGGAUUAGCGACGUUGCAUACCCUAGCCACAUCUACGUGAUCUCGCCGCCGCCGCGCCCCGACGCCUCGCUCUGCACCCGACGUGAUCUCGCCACCCCCUCUCCCCCGACGCCUAGCCGUACGCCGACGUGAUCUCGCCGCCCUCCAUCCCUCCCGACGCCGCACCAUCACAACUUCGUGACCGUGGCCGUCACCGUCCGUCCGCGCGUCGCCGUCCAUCACCGUCACCAUCUGUCCGCCGUCGGUCGUCACCGUCCAUCGUCCUUCACCGUCCGUCGCCGUCGGCCUUGACCGUACGUCAGUGCGUCGCCGCGGCCUUCACCGUUCGNNNNNNNNNNNNNNNNNNNNNNNNNNNNNNNNNNNNNNNNNNNNNNNNNNNNNNNNNNNNNNNNNNNNNNNNNNNNNNNNNNNNNNNNNNNNNNNNNNNNACUAUGGGGCCACCACAGGGCAACCUGAGGUUUGGUAUACCUGUAGUGUGACUCAUCCGGCGUGUCCUGAUACUGAGAUACGCGGCUCUUAUCAGGGUCGUCGACACGUCGGGAGGUCCUGCUAGUCUUGUCUUGCCUUAGCGGUUUAUCUUGCGUAUAGGAAUUCCGGUGAAGCUUUGGUUUCACCCAGAGUUGAGGUUUUCUCUAAGGAAUCCAACGAGAUCACGAGAUUCGUGAUAGAGGAUACCUUUGCGGUCUGUGUUCGUUUGUGAUGGACUAGUUGGAGCACCCCUGCAGGGUUCAAUCUUUCGGAAAGCCGUGCCCGCGGUUAUGUGGCAACUUGGAAUAUUUUGUUAACAUCCGGUAUUAGAAAACUUAAACAUAAACCAAUAAAAUAUGCCAACUGUGUGCGUAACCGUGACUGUCCCUUCGAAGAUCUCUCUUCGAUAGGGAACACGGUGGGGUUAUGAAUGCCGUAGGUAGGUGUUCAGGAUCACGUUCUGAUCAAGUAUUCACGAUCGUUAGUAUAGAACACUGUCACUUCUCCUUUGCGUAACCUAGCCACUUAUUCAGCCUUAGGAUGCAGCAGCCUGAAACACUUCACCCCUUCCUUGCCCAAUAACAUGGCUAGAUCUGGCACCAAGGCCUUAGAUUGCUGAGUCCCCGUGGCUCACGGAUUCCUCCGAAACUUCCAGCAGGUACAGGUACCCCAGAGGCAGAGGAUCCCGACGGCACCCAGCUGGCGUGGUAGUACGACGAGGAGACAGAUCGCCUUUACGUUAACUACCCAGAGGACUGAACCGUGGUCGUGAUCGUGGGCCUGCAGCGGGUAGCAUAGCCUUUUCCUUGUUUUGUAGUCCGUACCGGAACUACCUUGUUUGUACCUGCGUUGUACUCUGUAUUUUAAUAAGAAGACAGUUGAAUCCCAGAUUGUCUACUGUAAGUAUUGUUAUAUGCUAUGUUUACUUGCUUGCGAAACACUUAGAUGCGCUUCUUUCCUGUUCGGGGGCCUCGACCCCCAGAUCGAAAAGGACCGCAUCUUGGUCGUUACAUUUCGUCAGGGCAGCCAGAGUACGCUUCGCUUUUACCGGAUCUAUCUUCUUCUCCGGAGGUGGAUUUUUCUUUGCUUUGACCCCUUCAAAGAAGUUGGUCACUUCGGCUUGCACGAUCUUUGUGUUUUCCUACUGGCUCCUCUCGUAUGGUAACUUCUCUGGAGUCUUCAGAGAAGGACCGCAUCUGUAUUGCCUGCCUCUAGCUGUACUGCUAGACUGUAACGACCAAGAUGCGGUCCUUUCCGAUCUGGGGGUCGAGGCCCCCGAAUAGGAAAGAAGCGCAUCUAAGUGUUUCACAAGCAAGUAAACAUAGCACAUAAUAACGAUUACAGUAGACAAUCUGGGAUUCAACUGUCUUCUUAUUAAUAAUACAGAGUACAGUGCAGAUACAAACAAGGUAGUUCCGGUACGGACUACGGAACAAGGAAAAUGCUAUGCUACCCGCUGCAGGCCCACGAUCACGACCACGGCUCAGUCCUCGGGAUAGUUCACGUAAAGGCGAUCUGUCUCCUCGUCGUACUGCCAUGCCAGCUGGGUGCCGUCGGGAUCAUCUGACUCUGGGGUACCUGUACCUGCUGGAAGUUUCGGAGGAAUCCGUGAGCCACGGGGACUCAGCAAUCUAAGACCUUGGUGCCAGAACUAGUCAUGUUAUUGGGUAAGGAAGGGGUGAAGUGUUUCGGGCAGCUGCAACCUAUGAUUGAAUAAGUGGCUAACUUACGCGAGAAGGAAGUGAAAGUGGUCUACGCUAACGAUCGGGAAUACUUGAUCAGAAAGUGAUCCUGAACACCUACCUACGGCAGUCAUAACCCCACCGUGUUCCCGAUCGAAGAGAGAUCUUCAAAGGGACAUUCACGGUUACGCACACAGUUGGCAUUUUUUAUUAAUUUAUGUUUAAGUUCUCUAAUACCGGAUGUUAACAAAAUAUUCCAAGUUGCCACAUAACCGCGGGCACGGCUUUCCGAAAGAUUAAACCCUGCAGGGGUGCUCCAACUAGUCCAUCACAAACGAACACAGGCCGCAAAGGCAUCCUCUAUCACGAAUCUCGUGAUCUCGUCGGAUUCCUUAGAGGAAAACCUCAACUCUGGGUGAAACCAAAGCUUCACUGGGAUUCCUAUACGCAAGAUAUACCGCUAAGGCAAGACAAGACUAGCAGGACCUCCCGACGUGUCGACGACCCUGAUAAGAGCCGCGUAUCUCAGUCUCAGGACACGCCGGAUGAGUCACACUACAGGUAUACCAAACCUCAGGUUGCCCUGUGGUGGCCCCAUAGUCUGCCCAGUUUGGACCAACACUCAUGAGGAGCACUGGCCCGGGUUGUUGAUUAAAUUCCUCGGGUUAGCUAUUCCCUAUGCAGCUUAUUAUUAGGUGAUUAGCAAAUAGUACCAAAGUUGGGUCCUGCCGGACAAGCCUUAACACAACGCGAUUUAUCAAGGGGGUCCCCAUAACAACCCCGAACGUGUUAGGAGCGAUCAUUAUGGAAUCAAACACCGGUAACCGGUAACUGAGGCGGCAAUAACGGAACAAGACACCCGGCAAAAGGCUAGGCCUCCCGUCAUUUACCAAGUAUAUAGAUACAUUAAUUAAAUAACAGAAAUUAAUAUAAUGAUAUCAAUCUCAUGUCAUCACAUGAGUUUAAAUCACCUGCAACUAAAACGCUAACAUUGGUAGCUGAGCAAGCCUACCUAGCCAUGCAAGUUUGCUAGGAAAGAGUAAGGUGUUUAGGCUCAUGGCAUAUGAAGAGGCAAUAUAUUUUAAGUGGUAGGCAGCGAGAAAUAUGACGUGGAAUCGAAACUAACAUAACAAGUCUAGAUAUGGGAUCAAGGUCAUGUCAUCUUGCCUGUGAUAUCCUCAGCUUGGAAUGGUUCUGGAUCGUCCUGCACGUACUCUCCUGACUCCACGUAUUCGGUCUCCGCUCCCGGUGCUACCCAACACAAGAAUAACAGCCAAUGAACAGCAGCACCACAAGAUGCAACAAUCACAUGAUGCAUGAGAUGAAAGUUGAGCAUGCACCACUAUUUCUAACACUAGCACAAGCAAGAUAAACUACAACAAGUUCCUGGACAGAAUUUUGCACUAAACUAUUUGGACAUGCAUGGGAAUGAUAUGAACAGAUGCAUCUCGUAAAAACGGUGCAAAACCAUAUAAAGAACUUUGCCAACGGAGCUACGGAUCAACGGGAAUCGACGAAACACGAUAUGAAGCCCUACAUGAAAGAUUCAACCCCACACACUCAAUUGGCACAGAUCAGGUGUUCCCAGGUUGCCAAGACAUAUAUUAACCCAACAUGAAUGAAAAGGAGCAAGGUAGAACACCACAACAACAAUUAAGCACAAACUUUGAACAAAAUGGCAAAACUAUGCAAUCUGCCAGUUUCUGCAUCUUAGCUGUUUGUGAGCCACAUGAAACAUAGCUACAGGUCUUCAAAUAUGACAAAUAAUAUAUGUGCCUGUUGCCAACCAAGAACACUACAAGCUCCAGCAAUAAUCACAGCAAAAGGAAUUAAACUCUAGAAGAUACAAGGCCACAAACUUUCCCAAAACCAUCAGUUCUCAGGGACUUGGUGAAAAUUCCUGCACCUGAGACUCUGUUUCUGUUCUGAAGCUUUUUGACAGUAAUCAAAACACAAUCUACUGGACUCCAAAUAAAUUGAAAAUUGACAGGAAGCUUCACAAACAUCCCAGGUUCAAAACACUAGCACUGAACUAAGUCCAGUUCUCAACAGAAUGACCAGCACUUCCUUAUCUACAGGGGAAGAAAAUGUUUCCAGCAUCCCAGACUUAGUGAAAUUUUCAGAGUUCAAAAAUCUGGAAUUUUCCAGCCACAUGCCCACUUUGUCUAGGCAUAGUUUGCACACGCAUGUUACCAAGAGGUGAUUGACACCACUAUGGUGUUGAGCACAAACCCCUACUAUUAACACACAAAGAUCCAUGCCCUUGGGCUCCAUCUAUACCAUGGAAUCAAGGACCAAACUUCCAACAAAAUUGUAAAUGCAACUCCAUAAGGUAUGCUUCUAAGAUGACAAUACAUAGGUGAGUUUUUAUGUGUACAAUGACAAAGUGACAUGGGGGUUUGAACCCCAUGUUUGUGUCAUGGACAUCAACAAUACCAACAUAUCUACCAAACUAUCCCCACACACAAACACCAUGCCCUCUCACAUAUAGACAUGUGAAGGUGCAUAGUUUUUGCAAGGGUGGGGAAGUUCCACACACACUCACAUACUCCACAUGAUCUUAGCUACCAACUAAAACAAGGUCAACUCCAUAUGUAAACACACAACCUAGUGCAUCAACACAUGAUAGCACUUACAACAAAGAAGAAGCUACACAAGUUUGCUACUUCACUUGCUAGCUUCACCUAGGAUAAACUACUAGGUAGGACCAGCAUGCACACACCAUAUGUCAAGCUUCUCCAUAUGUAAAUGGCCUCACACCCACAUGCAAUUCUCACAAGCCACACACUACAUCACCUAACCUAGAAAUAACAGCAAGAAAAUAAAAUAGAAACAAGCUGCCAUGACCACCUAUGGGUAUAACAGGAACUACAAAGCAAAGAUGAAUCAAUAUAGCAGCAAAGAGAAAAAAAAGGAACUUCCUGGGAUUCGAUCCCAGUACUCCCUCUGGUAACCCAGAGCACCAAUACCACUCCACUGAUCACCAUGCACUCGACAGAGGAGGGGUACAUGGCGAGAUAACCUCUCUGCUGCUGGUACUACUUACGAACAGGAAAUAAAACCAAAAAAAAAAUAGGGGCGGUGCACCACCGGGGACUCGAACCCUGCACCUCUCGUUGACCAACAAGAGUCACUACCACUGCCCUACUGCAACUACAUCUGACAGAGGAAGGACCUGAAGCGAGAAAUACCAAGACCAUCGCUGUCUCUGCUCCACAACUGCGCGCCGGCGACAGAGAAGACGCCGUGGCGAGCAACUGCUGCCGCUGCGCCGCUCGAGGGCGACCUGCCGAAGUGGGAUGGCGCUACGAGGGGGAGGAAGAACCCUACUACCACUACCAACUACAAGCCUCUCCUGCAGAGAACACCAUGCACACAAGCUGAAGAAGCUACAACUUUGCUCGACGGAACUGCACGACGACAGGGAGUUCGCCGGCGUCCUAUUGCUGCAGCAGCUACCGGAGGAACCGAAGCAACCCGAGGAGAUGGAUCCCCUGCUACUAUCUACGCACAGCCGUGGGGCUACCUCGUCUACAUCGACACGAACGGCGGAAGUCUACUCUGCCUGCGCCAACUAGCAGAGAAACAACUACACGUACAGCCUGCCGGUACAACUCCGGCAAGCCUCGAGCAGGAGGCUCGGCGCCACUUCCGAAGAGGAAACUAGGAGGGGGAGAGGCACGGUCUCGCUCACCUUGCGUCGAGAGGAGAGGCGCCCGACGUGGAAGAAGAAGAAGUGCGCCUACUGCUGCAGGUAAAAGCCGCUGGGCGAGGAAGAAGGUGCUCGUCGGGGACGUCGAGGAAGAAGCCCCGGCUCCGGCUCCGCGCGAAAAUGGAACCCCUCCUCGGUCCUCUUGCUUGCGCAGCUACGGGGAGGCGACGAGGUGGCCGCUACGCCGGCGACGAGCUCGACCCGGUGCUGGUCAUGGCGUUGGGGACGACGAGAGUCUCACUGGCGGCGCUGGAGGGAGAGGACGAGGGAGAGGAGGAACCCUAGAGUGGUGGGGAGGCUGAGGG
rnacentral:lncRNA from 1 species